rnacentral:rRNA from 1 species
GACGAACGCUGGCGGCGUGCUUAACACAUGCAAGUCGAACGGAAAGGCCCAGCUUUUGUGGGGUGCUCGAGUGGCGAACGGGUGAGUAACACGUGAGUAACCUGCCCUUGACUUUGGGAUAACUUCAGGAAACUGGGGCUAAUACCGGAUAGGAGCUCCUGCUGCAUGGUGGGGGUUGGAAAGUUUCGGCGGCUGGGGAUGGACUCGCGGCUUAUCAGCUUGUUGGUGGGGUAGUGGCUUACCAAGGCUUUGACGGGUAGCCGGCCUGAGAGGGUGACCGGCCACAUUGGGACUGAGAUACGGCCCAGACUCCUACGGGAGGCAGCAGUGGGGAAUAUUGCACAAUGGGCGGAAGCCUGAUGCAGCAACGCCGCGUGCGGGAUGACGGCCUUCGGGUUGUAAACCGCUUUCGCCUGUGACGAAGCGUGAGUGACGGUAAUGGGUAAAGAAGCACCGGCUAACUACGUG